rnacentral:rRNA from 1 species
ACCGGCGGCUCGAGUGGUGGCCACUAUUACUGGGCUUAAAGCGUUCGUAGCUGGUUUGUUAAGUCUCUGGGGAAAUCUUCCGGCUUAACCGGAAGGCGUCUCAGGGAUACUGGCAGACUAGGGACCGGGAGAGGUGAGGGGUACUCCAGGGGUAGGAGUGAAAUCCUGUAAUCCUUGGGGGACCACCUGUGGCGAAGGCGCCUCACCAGAACGGCUCCGACAGUGAGGGACGAAAGCUGGGGGAGCAAACCG